UAAAGGCCUGGUCCUGGCUUUACUAUCAACUUUAGCCAAAUUUACACAUGCAAGUAUCCGCCACCCCGUGAGAAUGCCCUAACAGUUUUAUGCCCUAAAACAAGGAGCUGGCAUCAGGCACAACAUAAUAGUUUAGCCCACAACGCCUUGCUUAGCCACACCCCCAAGGGAACUUCAGCAGUGAUAAACCUUAAGCCAUAAGUGAAAACUUGACUUAGUAAAGCUAAGAGGGCCGGUAAAACUCGUGCCAGCCACCGCGGUUAUACGAGAGGCCCAAGUUGAUGAAUACCGGCGUAAAGCGUGGUUAAGAAAGAAUAUUACUAAAGCCGAAUGCCUUCACAGCAGUUAUACGCACCCGAAGCAACGAAGCUCCACCACGAAAGUGGCUUUACAAACUCUGACCCCACGAAAGCUAUGACACAAACUGGGAUUAGAUACCCCACUAUGCAUAGCCAUAAACAUUGAUAAGAUUGUACACCCCUUAUCCGCCUGGGAACUACGGGCACUAGCCUAAAACCCAAAGGACUUGGCGGUUCUUUAGCCCCCCCUAGAGGAGCCUGUUCUGUAACCGAUUACCCCCGUUGAACCUCACCCUCCCUUGUUUACCCCGCCUAUAUACCGCCGUCGUCAGCUAACCCUAUGAAGGAUAAAUAGUAAGCAAAAUUGGCACAGCCCAAAACGUCAGGUCCAGGUGUAGCGCAUGGAAGGGGAAGAAAUGGGCUACAUUCGCUAAUGUAGCGAAAACGAAAGAUGUACUGAAAAAAUACACCCGAAGGAGGAUUUAGCAGUAAGUGGCAAACAGAGUGUCCCACUGAAGCCGGCUCUAAAGUGCGUACACACCGCCCGUCACUCUCCCCAACAACUAAUACUUAACUAACUAAAGCACCACACCCGAAAAGGGGAGACAAGUCGUAACAUGGUAAGUGUACCGGAAGGUGCACUUGGAAAAAU
rnacentral:rRNA from 1 species